rnacentral:rRNA from 1 species
CCCUUAGAUGUUCUGGGCUGCACGCGCGCUACACUGAAGCGUUCAACGAGUAUUUCACCUUGCCCGGGAGGGUUGGGUAAUCUUUUUAAAACGCUUCGUGAUGGGGAUAGAUUAUUGCAAUUAUUAAUCUUCAACGAGGAAUUCCUAGUAAGCGCGAGUCAUCAGCUCGUGCUGAUUACGUCCCUGCCCUUUGUACACACCGCCCGUCGCUACUACCGAUUGAGUGAUCCGGUGAAUAAUUCGGACUGCAGCAGUGCUUGGUCCUCCGGGCUUUGCAGUGGAAAGUUUAGUGAACCUUAUCACUUAGAGGAAGGAGAAGUCGUAACA